GCGGGCGUAAUUCAGUGGUAGAAUGUCACCUUCCCAAGGUGAACGUCAGGGGUUCGAGUCCCCUCGUCCGCU
rnacentral:tRNA from 4 species